ensembl:lncRNA
GUUUUUUUCUUAAUUAAUGAUUGUCUACAUCUUGGACUCUUCGCUCCAUGAUAGCAGAGACCUUGAAUUUUUGCUCACUAGCAAAUCUCUAGGGUCAAGAAUAGUGCUUGGCACAUGGCUGGCCGCGAAUAAAUAUUUGUUGAAUAAGUGAAAGAAGGCACCCUAUUAGAAACCAAAGAGCUAGCAGUCAAUAUCAAAUACACAGAUAUAAAAACUUUCCACAAAUACGUAAGUAAAGCUAAGGACAAAAAUAUUAAUGAAAAUCUAUAAUAUGAUGACGAGCUGCUAUUAAAACAGAAGGGGAAGGGAAGCCUAGGACAAUGCAGACUUUGAAACAGCACUGACUAGAGACUGGAAAAGCAUGGAACCAAGAAAGUCUGUUUCAUUAAGGAAGUAGACAAGAACCAGCUCAAACAAUCUGCUAGAACCACCUAGUUAUGACUUAAGUAAUGACAGAACUAGGUGAAAGGUUACAUUUACAUAUCCUAUUAACAACUCCUUGACUCAUCAGUCUCUCUGGAAACAUUCAUAUCUGCAAAGAAACCAUUCAAACUUUCCUUCUCCUUGGCAUUUUCCUUUAUGAAAAUUCUCCAAAAAGUCCUUACUCCCCUGGAAAAUGUUUUAAGGACAUUUCGCUGUGGUCAAUUAGGCAUACAGUAAUAGCUAAGUGAGGCAAGGGCCAUGCAGGAAAUGGCAUAUAAUAGAAAGAACCCACUUUGCUCCUGAUUAAAGUCACUCAUGUGCGACUUGAGGAAAUGUACACACUAAAAAGUUCUGGGCACCACAGGAAAUCUCAGGUUAAAGGACAAGGCCUAAUUUGUAACCCUCAUUGUUACUGUUUUAAUCACCUAACACUAGAAUCCACAUAACUCUAAAUUCUCUGGGAGAAAGAAAGAGCUUAUUAGUUUAUGUUUAUUUGUAUUUCCUUAUUUCAGGCUUCUUUUAAAAGAAACUGUGACACUGAUGUGCGUGAAAAGCAAUCUAGUAUAAUUUCCUUUGAUUUGAACCCAUCAGUGACUCAUGCAAUAAACAGCACGUCCCCUCGGUUUGUUUCUGAGGCAGGCACACCAACAGUUCCAACGCAGAGUCCAGUUUUACUGGAGCCAGCCUUCCCAGAUGAUUUACCACACGCUGCCUGAGCAAGGACAGCAUGAAACUGGUGAAAAUUCUGAUCUUCAGAAACACAACAGACAAGGAUUAUUUCCAAUUUCAUGCUGUUUAUAUGAAGAGAAUGGAGGCACAAGGAAAUGCAAGCCUGUAGCAUACACUGAUAAAAACUGUGGCAGACAAAACAGAAAGGGGAAAAUGAAAGCACACUCGCUGAACAACUGACAUUACCAGAUUUAGGAGGGCGGGGAGGGGAGAAUGUAGAGGGAUAACCCACCUCUUCCACCCCCCUCAGAAACAAGAUUUUUAAAUUCGCAAUUUAAAAAAAGACAUUUAGCAAAGUAGUGUUGAAACACUACAUGGUGUAAAACCUCACUAAUUGAGGAAUUUAUGCAUAGGACUCAACAUUGGUACAAACCCUAAUAGCACAUGACCUUGGCUGUCUCAGAAUUUACUGAGACUUGAGGAGCAUCUGUGAAAAUAUGGGUUUGUUGAUGCGAUUAGUAGUGUAAACAAGAGGUCUAUGUAUAACCUACACAAGUUUCCUUUAAACACUAUAGAAGCUUCUAGAUAUGCACAAUUAUCAUUCUACUUCAAAAUUAACAUCUCUUUAUAAAUGUUUUCCUCAAAAGAGUUCUAAAAGUAACACCCUCAGCAGGUUUUGGGUUAUAUAUAUAAGCACUUAAAAAUAAUUCAAGUUUUGAAAUAUUCUAAAACUCAGAUUUUUAAAAGUUUGAAUUAGUCUUUAUAUGAGUAAAAUCUUAUUGCACUACAAAUAGGUACUAUUUUAAAGCAAAUUUCUUCUGGCAUACGUAAAUGAAAUUCUUACUAUCUGAAAUCCCCUAUAGUGCAAUUUUUAGCCAUGGAAAUAGCAGGUGGUAGUAUGAUUCUUCCACGGCCUCCGCCUUCACUUUUUAAAAUUUCUACCACUGUCCUUUGUUUUGCUCAUGUUGUAACGACAUGACUAGCAGUCAACACAAUGCAGGUAGAAAACUGUCCUUUGUGGCUGCAGCUGCUGUUGGCUGGACCUACAGAAUGACAGAAAGACUGUUGUGCUUUCACUUCCCAGAACUGUGGUCCAUGCCCUCCUCAAAACCAGCUUCUCCCAUCUGAUAGGGAAGCAGAUCUGCUGCUUUUAUUGUUUCUUGAAUUUUCCCCCACCUCUGCUGGAUCUCUUAAAGUUGCACUUUGAAGUACUACUUGUUUUUCUCUUUGAGUCCAGUUCCCCCUUUUCUCGAGGCUGUCCUCUUAAACUCCCCAAACAAGAGCAAUGUGGAAAGCUUGUUCCUGUCCUCCAUCCUUUUUGUGAGUUCGGGCAGCACAGCUGGGCUGCAGCAGGCGCUCCCUGGGUGCUGGUGGACUGGCUGUGUUCCAGAACUUCCCCGCGAAUGUGCCGCUCUGGUUCUUUCACGCUAAGCAUGGCUAGCAGAUAAAGCUGAAGACAGUGUUCAGAAGUUCAAGCUCCUUUGGGCACAGAUCCUAAUCUGACAAUCACACGUGAUUUGGAGGAAUGCCAUAUAUACAUGGAACUUCUGCUGCCACAUGGCUCCAGUCUGCCCAGUCUCCAAACCGACACUGUAGAUAAUUUUCUACUUCUUUUUUUCUCAACAGACCUGAACAGUACUGAUAAACUGUACUGAUUAUCCAAACUGAAAUAUUUCCUUUGUAUACAAGAACUCCUAUGAACCCAACACAAAAACAAGCAUCAUUUUUAUGCUGUCAAAAUCAACAACUUCUACCACCUGUACUCACCCAACAACACACAAAAAAAACUGAAGCUUUAAACCGGCAACGUCCCAUACAACUUUCUGCAACAAUAGAAAUGUUCUAUAUCUGCUCUGCCCACUACAGUAGCCACUAGUCACAUAUGGCUAUUAAGCGCUAGACAUGUGGCUAGUGAGACUAAAGAAUUAACAUUUUUUAUUUUUUAAUAAAUAAUUAAUUUAAACAAAUUUAAACAAACAAUGUGGCUAGUAGCUUUAAAGAAAGUAAAGGAUCCAAGAUUUUGCCCCACUUGCAGUCGAACAAAUAAGCAUUAUUUGUUUCAUGGAUACUGGAAGAAGACAUGAGAUUCCCAGGUCAGAG